GACAGAGGGUGCAAGCGUUAAUCGGAAUUAUUGGGCGUAAAGCGCGCGUAGGUGGAUUGGUAAGUUGGAUGUGAAAUCCCUGGGCUUAACCUGGGAAUUGCAUUCAAUACUGCUAGUCUAGAGUACAGUAGAGGGAAGUGGAAUUUCCGGUGUAGCGGUGAAAUGCGUAGAUAUCGGAAAGAACAUCAGUGGCGAAGGCGACUUCCUGGAUUGAUACUGACACUGAGGCGCGAAAGCGUGGGGAGCAAACAGG
rnacentral:rRNA from 2 species